rnacentral:rRNA from 1 species
GACGAACGCUGGCGGCGUGCUUAACACAUGCAAGUCGAACGGAAAGGCCCUGCUUUUGUGGGUUGCUCGAGUGGCGAAGGGGUGAGUAACACGUGAGUAACCUGCCCUUACUUGGGGAGAACUUCUUGGAAAUAGGGCUAAUAACGGAUGAGAACUUCUUCAGCCGGGUGGGGGUUUGGAAGUUUCGGCGGUUGGGGAUGGUCUUGCGGCUUACCGGGUUGCUGGUGGGGUAUGGGCUUACCAAGGCUUUGACGGGUAGCCGGCCUGAGAGGGUGAACGGCCACCUUGGGACUGCGAUACGGCGCAGACUCGUACGUGACGCAGUAGUGGGGAAUAUUGCACAACGGGGGGAAGUCUGAUGCAGCAACGCCGCGUGCGGGAUGACGUCUUUCGGGUUGUAAACAGAUUUCGCAUGUGACGAAGCGUGAGUGACGGUAAUGGGUAAAGAAGCACCGGCUAACUACGUG